rnacentral:rRNA from 1 species
AUUGAACGCUGGCGGCAUGCUUUACACAUGCAAGUCGAACGGUAACAGGCCUUCGGGUGCUGACGAGUGGCGAACGGGUGAGUAAUGCAUCGGAACGUACCCAGAGGUGGGGGAUAACGCAGCGAAAGCUGUGCUAAUACCGCAUGUGAUCUGAGGAUGAAAGCGGGGGACCGAGCAGCAAUGUUUGGCCUCGCGCCUUUGGAGCGGCCGAUGUCGGAUUAGCUAGUUGGUGGGGUAAAGGCCUACCAAGGCGACGAUCCGUAGCUGGUCUGAGAGGACGACCAGCCACACUGGGACUGAGACACAGCCCAGACUCCUACGGGAGGCAGCAGUGGGGAAUUUUGGACAAUGGGCGCAAGCCUGAUCCAGCAAUGCCGCGUGCGGGAAGAAGGCCUUCGGGUUGUAAACCGCUUUUGGCAGGAACGAAACGGUGUCCGCUAAUACCGGGCGCUAAUGACGGUACCUGCAGAAUAAGCACCGGCUAACUACGU